CACAUACUCCCUCCGUUCGGAAUUACUUGUCGCGGAAAUGGAUGUAUCUAGAUGUAUUUUAGUUGUAGAUACAUCCAUUUUUGUGACAAAUAAUUCCGAACGGAGGGAGUAUAUA
rnacentral:pre_miRNA from 1 species